rnacentral:rRNA from 1 species
UACAGAGGUCUCAAGCGUUGUUCGGAUUCAUUGGGCGUAAAGGGUGCGUAGGUGGCGGGGCAAGUCAGGUGUGAAAUCUCGGGGCUCAACCCCGAAACUGCACUUGAUACUGCCCUGCUCGAGUACUGGAGAGGAGAUUGGAAUUUACGGUGUAGCAGUGAAAUGCGUAGAUAUCGUAAGGAAGACCAGUGGCGAAGGCGAAUCUCUGGACAGUUACUGACACUGAGGCACGAAGGCCAGGGGAGCAAACGGG